UCCAGCAGCCCUUUCCAGCCUCAUAGUCCUGGUUUGCUUUGCCUGCUAAUGCUCUGCUUCACAAGAUAGGAGGUUUGCCUUUGUGAAGGAAGGAGGCAGCUAGUCUUUCCAUUCUCCUGAGCACUUCGGUCUUGGUCUCCUGAGAACAAAUUAUGGCUCUUGCUGGUGGGGGAGGCUGCAAACCUAUGGCUAGGUUGCAACUGGUAUGUGAAUCAGCUGUUCUCUGUGUUGGCCAAGUGCCCUUAGGCAUCUCCAUUGUUUUAGAAGAAAGCAAAGCAAGUCUGCCUUGCCAAGAUGCUACCUGAACACUCUAGAUUUCUGCCAAGCCCACAUUUGCAGCAUUCAAAUUUUAGAUUGUUCAUUAAGUAAAGCUGCUCUUGCACUUGCAGUGUUUCUUCAAACAAAAUGUAUUGAAAAUAAUAGGGCUGGAUUUAUCUGAGGCUCCUUAUAGUCUUCAGGACAAUGCUUUUUAAAGAAACAUAGAAGAAAGGAAUGCAGCCAUGCAGCAGCUACCUUAGGUGGUAGCUUAUUUGUGCAGGGGUCCAAAAGACCUGAGCUCAGAUUUCAUGAGUCAUCUGUAAUUUGUUGCAUGUUGAAGUAUAUCUUGCUUUCUGGCUUUGGGUUGAAAUGUGAGCUUUCUAAUACAAACAAACAUGCUGGGAUUAGCUUUAUAACUUGCAGAUCUUCAACUGUCACUGGCUUUGGAUUACGUCCAAGUGCGACAUACUGUCAGGAAGGGAAUGCUUGUGAGUGGA